rnacentral:rRNA from 1 species
GACGAACGCUGGCGGCGUGCCUAAUACAUGCAAGUAGAACGCUGAAGGAGGAGCUUGCUUCUCUGGAUGAGUUGCGAACGGGUGAGUAACGCGUAGGUAACCUGCCUGGUAGCGGGGGAUAACUAUUGGAAACGAUAGCUAAUACCGCAUAACAGUAGAUAUUGCAUGAUAUCUGCUUGAAAGGUGCAAUUGCAUCACUACCAGAUGGACCUGCGUUGUAUUAGCUAGUUGGUGGGGUAACGGCUCACCAAGGCGACGAUACAUAGCCGACCUGAGAGGGUGAUCGGCCACACUGGGACUGAGACACGGCCCAGACUCCUACGGGAGGCAGCAGUAGGGAAUCUUCGGCAAUGGACGGAAGUCUGACCGAGCAACGCCGCGUGAGUGAAGAAGGUUUUCGGAUCGUAAAGCUCUGUUGUAAGAGAAGAACGAGUGUGAGAGUGGAAAGUUCACACUGUGACGGUAUCUUACCAGAAAGGGACGGCUAACUACGUGCCAGCAGCCGCGGUAAUACGUAGGUCCCGAGCGUUGUCCGGAUUUAUUGGGCGUAAAGCGAGCGCAGGCGGUUAGAUAAGUCUGAAGUUAAAGGCUGUGGCUUAACCAUAGUACGCUUUGGAAACUGUUUAACUUGAGUGCAAGAGGGGAGAGUGGAAUUCCAUGUGUAGCGGUGAAAAUGCGUAGAUAUAUGGAGGGAACACCCGGUGGCGAAACCGGUUCUCUCGCUUGUAACUUGACCCUGAGGCUCCGAAAACCGGGGGGAGCGAACAAGAUAGACAGCCUACUAUUCCUAGGGCGAAGUCCACGCUCGGAUAAUCUGAUGAAACCCAUCCACCUUUAGGGGGGGGGCUUGUGUGUAUGAAUAAUUAUGUUAUAAGAAAGGUAAUCUAAAAAGAAACCUUGCGGGGCUGUCUUCCGGGUUG